rnacentral:rRNA from 1 species
UGCCAGCCGCCGCGGUAAUACGGAGGGUCCGAGCGUUAUCCGGAAUCAUUGGGCGUAAAGCGUGUGUAGGCUGCGCGGAAAGUCAAAUGUGAAAGCCAAGGGCUCAACCCUUGAACUGCAUUCGAUACUCCCGUGCUAGAGUAAUGGAGAGGUAAGUGGAAUUCCUGGUGUAGCAGUGAAAUGCGUGGAUAUCAGGAGGAACAUCAAUGGCGAAGGCAACUUACUGGACAUUUACUGACGCUCAGACACGGAGGCUAGGGGAGCGAAAGGGAUUAGAUA